UCCCUGCCCCCUACUUUUGCGAUCGUUGUUUUGGUUGUUGGCAUGCGUGGUUACGCGUCUGCGGUGUCCUUUAAGUGGAUCCUCAGCCAUCCGUAAUCGAUUUUCGGAUUGGACGAUCCAUCGAUCGUUGAUUUCGUUUUCGGAUUGGAUGAUCUGUUUCCGAUAGGUGGUGCAUCCAAAUCCUCAGCCAUCCCUUAAUCGUUGAUUUCGUUUUCGGAUUGGAUAAUCUGUUUCCGAUAGGUGGUGCAUCCAAAUCCUCAGCCAUCCCUUAAUCGUUGAUUUCGUUUACGAAUUGGAUGUUCUGUUCUCGGCACUUGGAACUGAUCUACUUUCCAUGCGGGGUGUAUCAAAAGCCUUUUGUUCAUGUGGCUUUCGUUUUCGGGGACUUGGACAUUGGUCUUGAACGAAUCGGGUGAUCUAUUUUCAAUCGCUGCGGAUCGGAAGCGUUUGAUAUCUGUUGUUUUCGUUUUCUGAACGAAUUGGAUGAUCUAUUUUUUUCCCAUAGGAAUAUUGAGAGGCUAGGAGUUCCGAUUAUUGGAAUCCGACUAGUGGAUUAUUCAUUAACCGCUCUUUUUUUUUUCUUGCGAUCUAUCAGAGGGCUUCACAAUUUUGCCGGAUUAAGGCUAUUUGCGACAGAUUUUAUAUGUACUUUCGAAGCGGUAGGUGAGGCUGUGGUGUUUAUGUGGGUAUUAUCUUAAUGGAACCCUCGCGGAGUCUGUGAGGCAAUUUGUGAAGGUUGCUCUGGUAUGCGUUGCACGAUUAAAUAUUUUUUCCAUUAGAUAGUGUUCUAUUUAAGGGGUUUCCUUACUGUAAUGAACGCUGCUUAUUAUCAUGGAUGCAGGUUUUCCGAAAUGAUCUAAACAAGGGAUGUGUCUUUUUUGUUCUGGUUUAGUUGGCCUUCGUUACUUUCAACUUUUAUUUGUUGCAUUUAUGUCCACCAGUUGGUUAUGUUUGUUUGUUUUUAUUUUUUGUGUGCAAGGGAAAGCUUCUGGAUAUGAUAUUUGAAAGAGAGAUGUAUGUGUUUUGGUACCAUGCUAUGAUAUUUGGUUUGAGAUAUACGCUAACGGUAUCAGCAUCAAUGCUGUGUCUUUUGGAUACUCUAGUUGGAUUUAGACGAGUAUCAGGGAAGAGUUCCAUCAACUUCUCAUUUUUUGAGGUUGCCUGUUAAAUUGUUGAUUAUUUUUCCUGUCCUCCUUCUGUCAGCAUUUUAUAUAUAUUGAAGUUAAAUCUAUCUCUUUGUUUUCUGAAUGUUCUAUUCCUAAUGUUUUUGUAGGCAGUUGCCUAAGCAUCAUCGUUAGGCAUGAUUCUAUUAAAUAGAGAUGGUAACUCACCUUUGUUGGAUUGUUUUUGGUAUGAGACCUAGGAUUUUACAUUUUUGAUAAGGCUAGUUUCUGUGGCAGAUUCUAUAUGUGUCAUCAAAGCUGUUGGUGGGGCUCUGGUGUUUUUGUGGUUAUUAUCUGUAUGGAGCCACACGUAGCUGUGAUGCAGUUUGUAAAGGAUGCUCCAAUUAAGGAUGCUCUGGUUUUUGUUGAAUGAUUUAAAUAGGUUUUCCAUUAGAUAGUGUUAUAUUUAAGGGGUUUAAUUGUUGUGACAUACCUUAUUAUGAUGGAUCCAGGGCUUCUGAAAUUAUCUGAACAGUGGAUAUGUCCGGUUUGUGCUGGUUUAGUCAGCCCUUGUUACUUUCAAACAUUAAUUGUUGCCCUUGCGUGCACAAGUUGGUCAUUUGAUACGGUUCUCAUCAAAGUAUGGUUGUUUGUUUUUAUUUGUUGUCUGCUAGGGGAAGCUGAUGGACAUCUAGUUUUGCAUGGGCAUGGGACAUUUUUUUGAAAGUGAGAUUUGCAGAAGCAUCAGUAUCAGCAUUAGCCAUAAGCCUGGUUUUAGGAUUAUGACCUUUCUUGAAUAGAAUUUUUGGAUUUAAAUUGGGUAUAUGGAAGGUUAUUUUGUUUGCCUAUUUGGUUUAUUACAUCCAGUUGUAUUCUUGGCUGCUCUUUCCAGAUGAAAUUUGGAUUUUCUGUCCUGGUUUUCUACAAUUAGUUAUGACGUUUGGUAGCAGGAUUUUAUUUUGGAGUUAAUACAUUUCUAAAUUGGGUUAAUUACAUCCUUUGGUGUUCUUGGCUGGUUGUAUUAGAGGAAGUCAGAUAAUUUUGUUGAAUAACUUGAAUUCUGUGGUCAUUGUUUCCAUUGGCGUCAUUGCUGUUCAUUUAUUGCCAAAAUGCGGUCCAACAGUGCAAAGUUGUUACAUUUGAAAGGUGAUGUGAACAAUGUAGUUCGAACAUCUACGGAAAGCCUAGCAUGAUUAAACAGAAAUUCAUGGGAAAGACUUUAUUGGCUUUAACUGGUUUUCCCAGGAUUAACAUUAGAUUGAAAAGCUUGGAACUGACAUUUGAAUUGAUCCACUAGUACCUGUUGCUAUUGCCCAUGAUGUUUGCAGUUUUGGUUCGAUUUUGUUCUUUUCCUGUGUGUACAUGUUUAUAUGGUUCAAAGAACUCUGGAAGGUUGUGUUUGGUUGAAAGGGGGCGGUGCAUUUGGAUUGAGAUUAGCAAAUUGAAAAGAUUGGAAGAUGACUUUUGAUUGAGAUGGGCAUUGAGAAGGUUGGAAAAUGAUUCUUUAGUUGAUUCGCAAGUCUCAGUAGCUAUUACCGGUGAUGUUCUGCAAUUUAUGGAUGGAUUUUGUUUUAUUUUCCUGUGCCUACAUAUUUGUAUGUUCCACUGAACUUUGGAAGUUCUGUUUUUGGUUGAAAACAUGGUGCAAUGGGAUGUUGUAUCUAUUAUGCAAAUUGGUUGUACCAAAAAUUAUUGUGGACUAGUACUCAGAUUUUGUCAUAAGUUAUCAGAUCAAGGUUUUUGA